UCCCUGGUGGACUAGUGGUUAGGCCACAGUGCUCUCACUGGUGUGGCCUGGGUUCAGUACCUGGGCAGGGAA